AGAGUUUGAUCCUGGCUCAGGAUGAACGCUAGCUACAGGCUUAACACAUGCAAGUCGAGGGGCAGCAUGGUCUUAGCUUGCUAAGGCCGAUGGCGACCGGCGCACGGUGAGUAACACGUAUCCAACCUGCCGUCUACUCUUGGACAGCCUUCUGAAAGGAAGAUUAAUACAAGAUGGCAUCAUGAGUCCGCAUGUUCACAUGAUUAAAGGUAUUCCGGUAGACGAUGGGGAUGCGUUCCAUUAGAUAGUAGGCGGGGUAACGGCCCACCUAGUCUUCGAUGGAUAGGGGUUCUGAGAGGAAGGUCCCCCACAUUGGAACUGAGACACGGUCCAAACUCCUACGGGAGGCAGCAGUGAGGAAUAUUGGUCAAUGGGCGAGAGCCUGAACCAGCCAAGUAGCGUGAAGGAUGACUGCCCUAUGGGUUGUAAACUUCUUUUAUAAAGGAAUAAAGUCGGGUAUGCAUACCCGUUUGCAUGUACUUUAUGAAUAAGGAUCGGCUAACUCCGUGCCAGCAGCCGCGGUAAUACGGAGGAUCCGAGCGUUAUCCGGAUUUAUUGGGUUUAAAGGGAGCGUAGAUGGAUGUUUAAGUCAGUUGUGAAAGUUUGCGGCUCAACCGUAAAAUUGCAGUUGAUACUGGAUAUCUUGAGUGCAGUUGAGGCAGGCGGAAUUCGUGGUGUAGCGGUGAAAUGCUUAGAUAUCACGAAGAACUCCGAUUGCGAAGGCAGCCUGCUAAGCUGCAACUGACAUUGAGGCUCGAAAGUGUGGGUAUCAAACAGGAUUAGAUACCCUGGUAGUCCACACGGUAAACGAUGAAUACUCGCUGUUUGCGAUAUACAGCAAGCGGCCAAGCGAAAGCGUUAAGUAUUCCACCUGGGGAGUACGCCGGCAACGGUGAAACUCAAAGGAAUUGACGGGGGCCCGCACAAGCGGAGGAACAUGUGGUUUAAUUCGAUGAUACGCGAGGAACCUUACCCGGGCUUAAAUUGCAGAUGAAUUACGGUGAAAGCCGUAAGCCGCAAGGCAUCUGUGAAGGUGCUGCAUGGUUGUCGUCAGCUCGUGCCGUGAGGUGUCGGCUUAAGUGCCAUAACGAGCGCGACCCUUGUUGUCAGUUACUAACAGGUUCUGCUGAGGACUCUGACAAGACUGCCAUCGUAAGAUGUGAGGAAGGUGGGGAUGACGUCAAAUCAGCACGGCCCUUACGUCCGGGGCUACACACGUGUUACAAUGGGGGGUACAGAGGGCCGCUACCACGCGAGUGGAUGCCAAUCCCCAAAACCUCUCUCAGUUCGGACUGGAGUCUGCAACCCGACUCCACGAAGCUGGAUUCGCUAGUAAUCGCGCAUCAGCCACGGCGCGGUGAAUACGUUCCCGGGCCUUGUACACACCGCCCGUCAAGCCAUGGGAGCCGGGGGUACCUGAAGUGCGUAACCGCGAGGAGCGCCCUAGGGUAAAACUGGUGACUGGGGCUAAGUCGUAACAAGGUA
rnacentral:rRNA from 1 species